rnacentral:sRNA from 1 species
CAAAAGAAAAAAAGCUACAAGAAUUCAGGUGUUAUCAGUGUGAAACAGUGUGAGAUUACAGUAGAAUGCACAUUCCUUGACUAUAUAAUGGGAGGAUGUCAGCUGAAUUUUACUGUGGGAGUGGACUUCACUGGCUCCAAUGGUGACCCAAGGUCUCCAGACUCCCUUCAUUACAUCAGCCCCAAUGGCGUUAAUGAGUAUUUGACUGCUCUCUGGUCUGUGGGACUGGUCAUUCAAGAUUAUGAUGCUGAUAAGAUGUUUCCAGCUUUUGGUUUUGGAGCUCAGAUACCUCCUCAGUGGCAGGUAAGAGGAAAUCUCAUUUUAAAGCUUUGCCUCCUAGAAAAGCAGCCCAGCCCUCAUCAGUCCUUUGUCCAUCUUUGACAGGUAUCACAUGAAUUUCCAAUGAACUUCAACCCAUCCAAUCCCUACUGCAAUGGAAUCCAAGGCAUUGUAGAGGCGUAUCGGUCUUGUCUUCCUCAGAUAAAACUCUAUGGACCAACUAAUUUUUCUCCAAUCAUAAAUCACGUGGCCAGGUUUGCUGCUGCAGCCACACAGCAGCAGACAG